rnacentral:misc_RNA from 1 species
GAUGAAGAACGCAGCGAAAUGCGAUAAGUAAUGUGAAUUGCAGAAUUCCGUGAAUCAUCGAAUCUUUGAACGCACAUUGCGCCCCCUGGUACUCCGGGGGGCAUGUCUGUCCGAGCGUCAUUGCAACCCUCAAGCACGGCUUGUGUGUUGGGCCCGCGUCCCCCGUGGACGGGCCUGAAAGGCAGUGGCGGCGUCGGGUUCCGGUGCCUAAGCGUAUGGGGCUCUGUCUCCCGCUUGGAGGCCCGGCCGGCGCCCGCCGUUCACACCUCAACCACUUCUUCCAGGUUGACCUCGGAUCAGAUAGGGAUACCCGCUGAACUUAAGCAUAUCAAUAAGCGGAGGA